ACACCUCAACUCUCAUGGUUCGCCGUGAUGAGCUUGGACUCCGGGGGUUUUGCUGGCCUGCGGUCGGCUCCCCUCAAAUGAAUCAGCCUCCCAGUGUUUGGUGGCAUCACGGGUGUGAUAAAUAUCUACGCUCACGGUUGUCCGCCAGGUAACCUUUGGCGACAAAGGUUCGCUGGAGCUCACAGAUGUCUCUCCUCAGCGAGGACAGCUUUUUGAAC
rnacentral:misc_RNA from 1 species